GCUGAUUCACCAUAGCUCAGCUGGUUAGAGAACAGUGCUGUUAAUGCCAAGGUUGCAGGUUCGAUCCCUGUAUGGGAUGGCUGCA